AUAUAUACCAUAACGGUAAUCAAACGUUAAUAAAAUAAUUCGCAUUUCGCUUAAUGCAUUUUUUAAUUAUUUUGUCGUGUAUGUGCCUGUAAUAAGCUUACACGGUAAGUUUCGAAUGCAAAACUUCCAUCAAAAACCCAGUAUCUUUGGCUACUUCGGGUAUGUUUAUUUAAAUAAUUAUAAUAUAGUGAUAUUGUAUAGCUUGAGUUACAGUACAGGGUGAAUUUGAAACAUGUAGCAUCCCUUUACAUCAUGUGUUGCCCAUUUGGUGGAGCAUAUUGAGGUUGUUGGCUUACCGGAUGUCCUGUUGGUCCUGGUGGACCAUAUGGUCCUGGCAUAGUACCAGUUUGAGGUGGAUCCUUGAUGUGAAUAAGGUACAUUGCUUUGCUCUGGCACAGGUGGUCCAUGAGGAUGUCCUCCUGGUGGGUGCUGAUGCGAACCUGCUGGUUGCACGUGAAAAUGUUGUGGUAAUGUCAUGUUUGGCAUGCUUGCAGGACCCAUAUAUUCAUUAGGUGGCAUAGUCGCAUUAUAUGGCCCAG
rnacentral:misc_RNA from 1 species